rnacentral:rRNA from 1 species
UACAGAGGAGCCAAGCGUUGUCCGGAUUGACUGGGCGUAAAGCGCACGCAGGCGGAUGCGCGCGUGGGGUGUGAAAUCUGGCCGCUUAACGGCCAGGCGCCAUCCCAUACGGCGCGUCUGGAGUGAUGCAGAGGUCGGUGGAAUUGCCGGUGUAGUGGUGAAAUGCGUAGAUAUUCGGAAGAACACCAGUGGCGAAGGCGACUCGCUGGACAGACAUUGACGCUGAGGUGCGAAAGCGUGGGGAGCAAACAGG